rnacentral:rRNA from 1 species
AACGCUGGCGGCAUGCUUUACACAUGCAAGUCGAACGGCAGCACGAAAGAGCUUGCUCUUUUGGUGGCGAGUGGCGAACGGGUGAGUAAUACAUUGGAACGUACCGAGUAAUGGGGGAUAACUGUCCGAAAGGAUGGCUAAUACCGCAUACGCUCUGAGGAGGAAAGCGGGGGACCUUCGGGCCUCGCGUUAUUCGAGCGGCCAAUGUCUGAUUAGCUAGUUGGUGGGGUAAAGGCCUACCAAGGCGACGAUCAGUAGUGGGUCUGAGAGGAUGAUCCGCCACACUGGGACUGAGACACGGCCCAGACUCCUACGGGAGGC